GCUUUGGUAGUUCAGUGGUAGAAUUCUCACCUUCCAUGAGGAAGACUUAGGUUCAAUUCCUGGCAAGUGUA
rnacentral:tRNA from 1 species